ACCUCGAUAAUACGGGGUUACGG
rnacentral:snRNA from 1 species